GCUCUUUCCUGUCCUUUCUGCAAGGAGACAAGUUUUCACCAUCUUUUCUACUGUGGGCAGUCAGGCACUAAUAAAUAGAAACAGGAAGUUGUUCCAUUUUUAGAGCUCACUAGACAUUAAGAGAAGAGAAAUCUAACCCUCAUCCUUUUUUCGUUAAACUUUUUAUUUUGCACUGAAGUAUAGCCAAUUAGGGCUUCCCUGAUGGCUCAGAAAGUAAUCUCCCUGGCUAAGACUUCAUGCUUCCAGUGCAGGGGGCACUGGUUCAAUCCCUGGUCAGGAAACUAAGAUCCCAGAAGCUGUACAGCCAAGAAAAGUUAAAAAAAAAAAAAACCAGUAUCAGCCAGGAGCCCCAUACUAGCAUUAAAAAAAAAAAAAAAAGGUCCAAAAUUAAGAAAAUUUUGCAUUGCAAAGGUAAUGAGAAUGGUUAUUUUAGAACAAAGGGUAACACAGAGUAACCCUGAAAUAUUAACAGGUUGUUCACGGUGUGCUUCUGAAGAGUAGAGACUAUCUUACCUGAACAUAGGGCACAAAGGGGUAAGGGGACUAAGUCUGGCAGGUAAACUGCAGCUGGAUUUGGUGUCAUUAGACUCUCGCAGCAACAAAGAGCCAAGUUCAUUUUCUUCAUGUGCCCUUGACCCCAGAGCCUUCCAUCAGAGCUAAGAGGUCUACCGUGUGUCACUGUUGCUGUGAGAGUUUGUUAUCAUCCUUCUGAGAGUUUGCCUCAGUGAGUCACAGUGUAAACAGACUGUGUGUGUGUGUGUGUGUGUGUGUGUGUGUGUGUGUGUGUAAGCCUUGGCAUCUGAAUUCUGAAAAGAAAAGGAUAAAUUCCCUGGUCAAUAAGCCUGUCUUUAUUGACCAAAACUGAACUAUAGCAAUGAGUAGUCUAGGCAGUGAAGUGGUAACUAGUAUUUAUAGAUUCUUCCUGCUCUAAAUAGGUUGGUAAUCUUGAACACAGUAAUUAGGAGGAAUUGACUAGAACCAACUGGCCUUCGAACAGAGUGUUUUUAAAAAUCUCAUUAACUGGAAUAGUUUGCUAAAAAUAAUACUGAAAAUAUGGGUUGUGUCAACAAAUCCAUUAUUAGGGCAGAACAGAGAAUUUAAGUGAAAAAUCCUAAAGCAAAGCCUGGGCCUAAAUAAUUAUCAGCACCAUUC
rnacentral:lncRNA from 1 species